rnacentral:rRNA from 1 species
AGCAGUCGCCGCGGUAAUACGGAGGGUGCAAGCGUUAAUCGGAAUUACUGGGCGUAAAGCGCACGCAGGCGGUCUGUCAAGUCGGAUGUGAAAUCCCCGGGCUCAACCUGGGAACUGCAUUCGAAACUGGCAGGCUGGAGUCUUGUAGAGGGGGGUAGAAUUCCAGGUGUAGCGGUGAAAUGCGUAGAGAUCUGGAGGAAUACCGGUGGCGAAGGCGGCCCCCUGGACAAAGACUGACGCUCAGGUGCGAAAGCGUGGGGAGCAAACAGGAUUAGAUACCCCAUAGUCCCUGUCUCUUAUACA